rnacentral:tRNA from 1 species
AAUGAAUUGCCUGAUUAAAGGAUUAUCUUGAUAGGAUAAAUUAUGUAAUAAUAUUACAUUCAUUA